CGGAGGAUCCAAGCGUUAUCCGGAAUCAUUGGGUUUAAAGGGUCCGUAGGCGGUUUUGUAAGUCAGUGGUGAAAGCCCAUCGCUCAACGGUGGAACGGCCAUUGAUACUGCAAGACUUGAAUUACUAGGAAGUAACUAGAAUAUGUAGUGUAGCGGUGAAAUGCUUAGAUAUUACAUGGAAUACCAAUUGCGAAGGCAGGUUACUACUAGUGGAUUGACGCUGAUGGACGAAAGCGUGGGGAGCGAACAGGAUUAGAUACCCUGGUAGUCCACGCCGUAAACGAUGGAUACUAGCUGUUCGGAGCAAUCUGAGUGGCUAAGCGAAAGUGAUAAGUAUCCCACUGGGGAUACGUUCGCAAGAAUG
rnacentral:rRNA from 1 species